rnacentral:tRNA from 1 species
GUUUAGGUAAUUUAAUUUUAAAAUAUAAUAUUGAAGUCAUUACAUUGGCCUAUUGGCCCCAAAACA